GAUCUGGCUCAGGACGAACGCUGGCGGCGUGCUUAACACAUGCAAGUCGAACGAGAAUCUGCGGAAAGAGGAUUCGUCCAAUUGAAGCAGAGGACAGUGGCGGACGGGUGAGUAACGCGUGAGGAACCUGCCUUUCAGAGGGGGACAACAGUUGGAAACGACUGCUAAUACCGCAUAACAUAUAGAUGUCGCAUGGCAUUUAUAUCAAAGAUUUAUCGCUGAAAGAUGG
rnacentral:rRNA from 1 species